rnacentral:rRNA from 1 species
CGGCACAGCGGGAAGCCAGGUGGUGACACCGAGCAGAACCGAAAGCCGUUCUCAGUUCGGAUCGGAGUCUGCAACCCGACUCCGUGAAGCUGGAUUCGCUAGUAAUCGCGCAUCAGCCAUGGCGCGGUGAAUACGUUCCCGGGCCUUGUACACACCGCCCGUCAAGCCAUGGAAGCCGGGGGCGCUUGAAGUGCGUUGCCGCAAGGCGCGCCCUAGAGCGAAACCGGUGACUGGGGCUAAGUCGUAACAAGGUACC